AUUGAACGCUGGCGGCAUGCCUUACACAUGCAAGUCGAACGGUAACGCGGGGCAACCUGGCGACGAGUGGCGAACGGGUGAGUAAUAUAUCGGAACGUGCCCAGUAGUGGGGGAUAGCCCGGCGAAAGCCGGAUUAAUACCGCAUGAGACCUGAGGGUGAAAGCGGGGGAGUCGCAAGACCUCGCGCUAUUGGAGCGGCCGAUAUCAGAUUAGGUAGUUGGUGGGGUAAAGGCCUACCAAGCCGACGAUCUGUAGCUGGUCUGAGAGGACGACCAGCCACACUGGGACUGAGACACGGCCCAGACUCCUACGGGAGGCAGCAGUGGGGAAUUUUGGAUAAUGGGCGCAAGCCUGAUCCAGCCAUGCCGCGUGCGGGAAGAAGGCCUUCGGUUGUAACGCUUUGUCAGGGAAGAAUCUUCUGGGUUAAUACCUCGGGAGGAUGACGGUACCUGAAGAAUAAGCACCGGCUAACUGCGUGCCAGCAGCCGCGGUAAAGCUACGU
rnacentral:rRNA from 1 species